rnacentral:rRNA from 1 species
UUUUAUUUGAGAGUUUGAUCCUGGCUCAGGAUGAACGCUGGCGGCGUGCCUAACACAUGCAAGUUGAGCGAUUUACUUCGGUAAAGAGCGGCGGACGGGUGAGUAACGCGUGGGUAACCUACCCUGUACACACGGAUAACAUACCGAAAGGUAUGCUAAUACGGGAUAAUAUAUUUGAGAGGCAUCUCUUAAAUAUCAAAGGUGAGCCAGUACAGGAUGGACCCGCGUCUGAUUAGC